GACGAACGCUGGCGGCGUGCUUAACACAUGCGAGUCGAACGGUGAUGCUCCAGCUUGCUGGAGUGGAUCAGUGGCGAACGGGUGAGUAACACGUGAGCAACCUGCCCCAGACUCUGGAAUAAGCGCUGGAAACGGCAUCUAAUACUGGAACCGAAAAUGGACGGCAUGGGCAUGGUUUGGAGAGUCUUUCGGUUUGGGAUGGGCUUGCGGCUUAUCCGCUUGUUGGUGAGGUAAUGGCUCACCAAGGCCGCGCAGGGUAGCCGGCCUGAGAGGGGGACCGGCCACAAUGGGACUGAGGCACGGCCCAGACGCCUACGGGAGGCAGCAGUGGGGAAUAUUGCACAAUGGUCGAGAGCCUGAUGCAGCGACGCCGCGUGAGGGAUGACGGCCUGCGGGUUGUAAACCUCUUGCCGCAGGGAAGAAGCGAAAGUGACGGUACCGGCAGAAGAAGCACCGGCUAACUACGUG
rnacentral:rRNA from 1 species